AUGGCCUGGGCCUCUCUCCUCCUCGAGGUGCUCACCCAUGGAUCAGGUUCCCUGGUCCAGGCAGCACUGACUCAGCUGUCCCCGGUGUCAAGGAGCCUGGGACAAACCGUCCAGAUCACCUGCUCCGGGCUUAGCAGCAGCAAUGCUGUUGGCUGGUACCAGCAGAAGGUACCUGGCAAUGGCCCUGUCACUGUGAUCUACCAGAGCGACAAGAGACCCUCGGACAUCCCUUCACGAUUCUCCGGAUCUGCAUCUAGCACCACGGGCACAUUAACCAUCACUGGGGUCCAAGCCGAGGACGAGGCUGUCUAUUACUGUGGUUGCUGGGACAGCAGCAGCUAUGGUGUCUGGUGA